GCAGUCUAGUUGCAUCUCUCACCCCAUUGAUCACCAGGACUGAUUGGGCUGAUAUGGCUGGAUAGACAGUCAUUCUCUUUCUCCUCAACAUCUACAUUUGCAUCCCUCCCAAAGCUGCAUACGCGGUCAAAGAGGAUAACCAACCAUCCCACAUGGAAGAGUCCCAUUCCAUGGAGAAUGGUAUACAAUAGUUGUGCUCCUCUGUACCUUCUUCUCCAGCUAUCAUUGAAUCUGAUUUACGGUAGUGACAUAAUAUGCACAAAAUAGUGGUUGUACCUCAUACAGUGACAAGUAUU
rnacentral:snRNA from 1 species